rnacentral:rRNA from 1 species
AUUGAACGCUGGCGGCAUGCUUUACACAUGCAAGUCGAACGGCAGCGCGGGCUUCGGCCUGGCGGCGAGUGGCGAACGGGUGAGUAAUACAUCGGAACGUGCCCAGUAGUGGGGGAUAGCUCGGCGAAAGCCGGAUUAAUACCGCAUACGACCUGAGGGUGAAAGCGGGGGAUCUUCGGACCUCGCGCUAUUGGCGCGGCCGAUGGCAGAUUAGCUAGUUGGUGGGGUAAAGGCCUACCAAGGCGACGAUCUGUAGCUGGUCUGAGAGGACGACCAGCCACACUGGGACUGAGACACGGCCCAGGCUCCUACGGGAGGCAGCAGUGGGGAAUUUUGGACAAUGGGCGAAAGCCUGAUCCAGCAAUGCCGCGUGUGUGAUGAAGGCCUUCGGGUUGUAAAGCACUUUUGGCGGGAACGAAAAGGACUGUGCCAAUACCACGGUUCGAUGACGGUACCCGCAGAAUAAGCACCGGCUAACUACGUG